ACCUACUGACGAGUCCUAAAUAGGACGAAACAAGCGUCCUGGAU
rfam:Schistosoma margrebowiei strain Zambia genome assembly, scaffold: SMRZ_contig0003036